AACCCUGUACAAGUGAGAACUUGGAGUCUCUACAUUGAACAGUGAUUUGAUUGUUGGUAUUUGGUACAGCUCAUAUUUAAUUGGCAACAAAAAUUGCUAGAUUUUCCUUUUCCUUGCCUAUUUACCAAAUGCAACUAGCAAAGUACAAAUAUUUUAUGGAGCUGCAUAAUUUCAGUUAGUCUCUCUUCAUCCUAGAAUGUUGCCAAAAAAAAUUGUAGGGUGCUGUUAUCAAGGAAGGGCAGGUGAUAGGAUAUUUAGAUCAGUUUGGUACUGAGCUUCCUGUGAAGUCUGAUGUGGCUGGAGAGGUCCUAAAGCUUCUCGUAGAUGAUGGAGAUGCUGUUGGCUAUGGGGAUCCGCUCAUUGCUGUCCUGCCAUCCUUCCACGGCAUCAAGUGAAGUGCCAUAAAAUCUAGCGUAGUUUUACAAUUUGCAGCCAGAGUGUUGGAAGAGUUUCGAGAUUCAGAAUUUGUUUUCUCAGAGACCAACUUGUAUUAUUUUUUGGGCUUUGCUUCAUACAAUCUUUAGAUGCAGGUGUAAUUGAUGACUGUACUUUGGCAUUGCAUCUCUAGAUUAAGGAAAUAAUCAGUUUAAAAGGCUUAGGUGUUCUGGAGAAAAAGGUUUAUGAUUUUUGUUGGGUGACAAUUUUGUAUACCUGCCUAUGAAAGCCGUAGUUUGUCGAUUUGCGUAGGCAAAUUUCAUAUAGAGGAUGUUCUGAAGGCUUUCAUUCCAUUUUGCACCUCUAUGUUCAAAACCCUAAAUAAAUAGAUUUAGCAUCCAAAACAGGAUCUAAUUAUUGUA